rnacentral:rRNA from 1 species
AGACUGCCCUAUGGAGUUGUUAAACUGCUUUUACAGAGGAAGAACCACUCCCACGUGUGGGAGUUUGGACGGUACUCUGCGAAUAAGGAUCGGCUAACUCCGUGCCAGCAGCCGCGGUAAUACGGAGGGAUCCAAGCGUUAUCCGGAAUCAUUGGGUUUAAAGGGUCCGUAGGCGGGCAGUUAAGUCAGUGGUGAAAGUCUUCCGCUCAACGGGAGAACUGCCAUUGAUACUGAUUGCCUUGAGUUAUUAUGAAGUGGUUAGAAUGAGUAGUGUAGCGGUGAAAUGCAUAGAUAUUACUCAGAAUACCGAUUGCGAAGGCAGAUCACUAAUAAUAUACUGACGCUGAUGGACGAAAGCGUAGGUAGCGAACAGGAUUAGAUACCCUGGUAGUCUACGCCGUAAACGAUGGUUACUAGCUGUUCGGAUCGAUUAAGAUCUGAGUGGUUAAGCGAAAGUGAUAAGUAACCCACCUGGGGAGUACGUUCGCAAGAAUGAAACUCAAAGGAAUUGACGGGGGCCCGCACAAGCGGUGGAGCAUGUGGUUUAAUUCGAUGAUACGCGAGGAACCUUACCAGGGCUUAAAUGUAGUCUGACAGGAGUGGAAACACUUUUUUCUUCGGACAGAUUACAAGGUGCUGCAUGGUUGUCGUCAGCUCGUGCCGUGAGGUGUCAGGUUAAGUCCUAUAACGAGCGCAACCCCUGUGGUUAGUUGCCAGCGAGUAAUGUCGGGAACUCUAGCCAGACUGCCGGUGCAAACCGUGAGGAAGGUGGGGAUGACGUCAAAUCAUCACGGCCCUUACGUCCUGGGCCACACACGUGCUACAAUGGUAGGGACAGAGAGCAGCCACUUCGCGAGAAGGAGCGAAUCUACAAACCCUAUCACAGUUCGGAUCGCAGUCUGCAACUCGACUGCGUGAAGCUGGAAUCGCUAGUAAUCGCAUAUCAGCCAUGAUGCGGUGAAUACGUUCCCGGGCCUUGUACACACCGCCCGUCAAGCCAUGGAAGCUGGGGGUACCUGAAGUCGGUCACCGCAAGGAGCCGCCUAGGGUAAAACUGGUAACUGGGGCUAAGUCGUAACAAGGUAGCCGU